AUUGAACGCUGGCGGCAUGCUUUACACAUGCAAGUCGAACGGUAACAGGUUAAGCUGACGAGUGGCGAACGGGUGAGUAAUGCAUCGGAACGUGCCCGGUCGUGGGGGAUAACGCCGCGAAAGCUGCGCUAAUACCGCAUACGAUCUAAGGAUGAAAGCGGGGGACCGUAAGGCCUCGCGCGAUCGGAACGGCCGAUGUCAGAUUAGGUAGUUGGUGGGGUAAAGGCUCACCAAGCCAACGAUCUGUAGCUGGUCUGAGAGGACGACCAGCCACACUGGGACUGAGACACGGCCCAGACUCCUACGGGAGGCAGCAGUGGGGAAUUUUGGACAAUGGGCGAAAGCCUGAUCCAGCAAUGCCGCGUGCAGGAAGAAGGCCUUCGGGUUGUAAACUGCUUUUGUACGGAGCGAAAAGGUCUCCUCUAAUACAGGGGGCUCAUGACGGUACCGUAAGAAUAAGCACCGGCUAACUACGUGCCAGCCGCCGCCGUAA
rnacentral:rRNA from 1 species